AAUAGCGUGGCCGAGUGGUCUAAGGCGCUGGAUUAAGGCUCCAGUCUCUUCGGAGGCGAGUCUCUUGCCAUUG